rnacentral:rRNA from 1 species
UGGGGAAUAUUGCACAAUGGGCGCAAGCCUGAUGCAGCCAUGCCGCGUGUGUGAAGAAGGCCUUCGGGUUGUAAAGCACUUUCAGCGGGGAGGAAGGCGAUAAGGUUAAUAACCUUGUCGAUUGACGUUACCCGCAGAAGAAGCACCGGCUAACUCCGUGCCAGCAGCCGCGGUAAUACGGAGGGUGCAAGCGUUAAUCGGAAUUACUGGGCGUAAAGCGCACGCAGGCGGUUGAUUGAGUCAGAUGUGAAAUCCCCGGGCUUAACCCGGGAAUUGCAUCUGAUACUGGUCAGCUAGAGUCUUGUAGAGGGGGGUAGAAUUCCAUGUGUAGCGGUGAAAUGCGUAGAGAUGUGGUGGAAUACCGGUGGCGAAGGCGGCCCCCUGGACAAAGUCUGUCGCUCAGGUGCGAAAGCGUGGGGAGCAAACAGG